rnacentral:lncRNA from 1 species
CAGCAAAGCAAAGUGAACAUGGAAACAAAAGAUUCCAACUGACUUCUUUUGGUGACCAUUUGAAGAGCAAAAUAGUAUCUCCUGAAUGAAUGGAUCGAUGGAUGCAAACAUUACUGUUACUGAGGCAGAAGACCUACAUUCGAAUCAACACCUCGCUAUUUAUACUUAAUCCCAAGCAAACCAUAAACUCUCUGUGAAAGACAAUGUAGAAGUAUGAAUGUGAUCUUCUGUCUUCUUAAAACCAGGUGGCUAGACUGGGCAAUUCCUUCGUGGUCUUAUCAGCAGUAUGAUCAAUUUCUCCAUAUGCAAAAGAUUGCAAGAUUUGUCUUCUAGGAAAUGGAGUGUGAGAGUUUAUGGGCCACUCUAUCGUGUUGAGCAACAGAGGGAUUGUUUGAGCUGUAGAGAGCUGAAAAUAUUAGAGAAGAUGGAAAAGAAAGCUGACUUUCUGAGACCACCUGCAAGAGAAGAAACUAAAAAUAAUCAACUUCCUGCAACUAGGUAUCUUGUCUCCC